GUUUGAUCCUGGCUCAGGAUGAACGCUAGCGGCAGGCUUAACACAUGCAAGUCGAGGGGUAUAGUAGCAAUACUAGAGACCGGCGCACGGGUGCGUAACGCGUAUGCAAUCUACCUUUUGCAGGGGAAUAGCCCAGAGAAAUUUGGAUUAAUGCCCCAUAGUAUAAUGUCUUGGCAUCGAGAUAUUAUUAAAGUCACAACGGCAAAAGAUGAGCAUGCGUCCCAUUAGCUAGUUGGUAAGGUAACGGCUUACCAAGGCGACGAUGGGUAGGGGUCCUGAGAGGGAGAUCCCCCACACUGGUACUGAGACACGGACCAGACUCCUACGGGAGGCAGCAGUGAGGAAUAUUGGACAAUGGGCGCAAGCCUGAUCCAGCCAUGCCGCGUGCAGGAUGAAGCAUCUAUGGUGUGUAAACUGCUUUUGUACGAGAAGAAACACUGCUUCGUGAAGCAGCUUGACGGUAUCGUAAGAAUAAGGAUCGGCUAACUCCGUGCCAGCAGCCGCGGUAAUACGGAGGAUCCAAGCGUUAUCCGGAAUCAUUGGGUUUAAAGGGUCCGUAGGCGGGCCAGUAAGUCAGUGGUGAAAUCUCCCGGCUCAACCGGGAAAUGGCCAUUGAUACUGCUGGUCUUGAAUUAUUAGGAAGUAACUAGAAUAUGUAGUGUAGCGGUGAAAUGCUUAGAGAUUACAUGGAAUACCAAUUGCGAAGGCAGGUUACUACUAAUGGAUUGACGCUGAUGGACGAAAGCGUGGGUAGCGAACAGGAUUAGAUACCCUGGUAGUCCACGCCGUAAACGAUGGAUACUAGCUGUUGGGGGCAACUUCAGUGGCUAAGCGAAAGUGAUAAGUAUCCCACCUGGGGAGUACGUUCGCAAGAAUGAAACUCAAAGGAAUUGACG
rnacentral:rRNA from 1 species